rnacentral:rRNA from 1 species
AUUGAACGCUGGCGGCAUGCCUUACACAUGCAAGUCGAACGGUAGCAGGUUAAGCUGACGAGUGGCGAACGGGUGAGUAAUGUAUCGGAACGUGCCCAGUCGUGGGGGAUAACUACUCGAAAGAGUGGCUAAUACCGCAUACGACCUGAGGGUGAAAGCGGGGGACCGUAAGGCCUCGCGCGAUUGGAGCGGCCGAUAGCAGAUUAGCUAGUUGGUGGGGUAAAAGCCCACCAAGGCGACGAUCUGUAGCUGGUCUGAGAGGACGACCAGCCACACUGGGACUGAGACACGGCCCAGACUCCUACGGGAGGCAGCAGUGGGGAAUUUUGGACAAUGGACGCAAGUCUGAUCCAGCCAUGCCGCGUGCGGGAAGAAGGCCUUCGGGUUGUAAACCGCUUUUGUCAGGGAAGAAACGAGUUUCUCUAAUACAGAGACUUAAUGACGGUACCUGAAGAAUAAGCACCGGCUAACUACGUGCCAGCAGCCGCCGUAACAC